UGAUCCAGCCCUAACUAUAAGCUUUAUCAAAGAGGAAUGUCUUAAGCCUACUCUUGAAUGUGGUGAGGGUGUCUGCCUCCCGAACCACAACUGGAAGCUGGUUCCACAGGAGAGGAGCUUGGUAACUGAAGGCUCUGGCUCCUGUUCUACUUUUAGAGACUAUAGGAACCACAAGUAGCCCAGCAUUCAGAGAACGUAAUGUUCUAGUGGGGUAAUAGGGUACUAUGAGCUCUUUAAGAUAUGAAGGGGCCUGACCAUGAAGAGCUUUAUAGGUGAGGAGGAGGAUUUUAAAUUCUAUUCUACAUUUUACAGGGAGCCAAUGCAGAGAAGCUAACAGCACAGUGGCUCUAACAAGCAGUUGGUAAAGUUUGUUUUAUAUUACCCUGUAAAGUCUGCAAAGACACAUUUCUCCUGCAACACAGCAGCAAUUUGACCUCACCAGUUUGUGAUAGUGUUUGAUGUGGCAGAGACUGUGAUCUUUAUACCUGUGAGGGAAUAUUUCACAGUUUAACACAGAUAACUAUUUAAAUGAACAACUGGAACGUAUUUAUGUAACUUUAUUUCUGCUGAUAUUAGUAAUCCAGUAAAGAGUGACGAACCAGUCCUGUCUGUCUGUCCGUCUGUCUGUCUGCGUGAUGUGGAUUAGUUUUUUUUACUUCAAAGGCCAAAAUGCAAAAUUAAUCUUUAUGAAACAAAAAAAAAACUAUUUUUAAGGAUCCAUAAUACACUGUUUUUGGACUAUAUUACUAUAUUAUGUGUUAAUAAUACUGACUAGGCAUUAGUGCCUUGCAAAGUGCAUAGGGAGCUUGUAGAAGAGGUUCUACAAAAUGAUGCUCUAAAUGAAGUUAAUCAUUAAAAUUAAAAAUUUUAUUUCAAUUUAUUGUCAUAUUUCAUUAUUUUCCAAUUUAUUCUUUCCUGUUUACAUUUUUAAUUUUUUUAUUUCUGUUUUUAUUCACCCAAUGAAGGGUUCUGUAUGUGAUCAUUAACAUAUAGUAAUAAAUAAACUAAUAAAUAAAUAAACUAAAUAAAUUACUAAACACAAAGAGAAUAAACUGUAAAAUAAAUGUUUAUUAUUUCUA